rnacentral:tRNA from 65 species
GGCCCCUUAGCUCAGCUGGAUAGAGCACCUGCCUUCUAAGCAGGUUGUCGCAGGUUCGAGUCCUGCAGGGGUCGCCA